rnacentral:rRNA from 1 species
CCUACGGGGGACUGCAGUGAGGAAUAUUGGUCAAUGGGCGAGAGCCUGAACCAGCCAAGUCGCGUGAAGGAUGACGGCCCUACGGGUUGUAAACUUCUUUUGUAAGGGAGCAAUGGGGUUCACGCGUGGGCUUAGCGAGAGUACCUGAAGAAAAAGCAUCGGCUAACUCCGUGCCAGCAGCCGCGGUAAUACGGAGGAUGCGAGCGUUAUCCGGAUUGAUUGGGUUAAAGGGGUGCGUAGGCGGAAUAUCAAGUCAGCGGUAAAAAUUCGGGGCUCAACCCGGUCGUGCCGUGGAAACUGAUGUUCUUGAGUGGGCGAGAAGUAUGCGGAAUGCGUGGUGUAGCGGUGAAAUGCAUAGAUAUCACGCAGAACUCCGAUUGCGAAGGCAGCAUGCCGGCGCCCAACUGACGCUGAAGCACGAAAGCGUGGGUAUCGAACAGGAUUAGAUACCCGUGUAGUC